CUGAGCUGAGGUUGGAUGCUUAACUGACUGAGCACCCAGGCCCCUUAGCAGUUCAAGGAAAUUUAAUCUUGGGGCACCUGGGUGGCUUGGUCGGUGAUGUCUGACCCUUAAUUUAUGCUUGGGUCAUGAUCCUGGGGUUGUGGGAUCGAGCCCUGUGUCAGGCUCUGUGCUACAUAGAGCCCAGACAGCAUGGAGCCUGCUUGGGAUUCUCUCUCUCCCUCUCUUUCUGCCCCUCCUCCUUUUUCUGCCCCUUCCCCCAAUAAAUAAAUAUUAAUAAAAGAAAAAAAAGAAAAUGCAUGUAUCUCACCUGAACUUUAUUCAGGAGAUUCUGAGUAGGUCUGGGGUGGGGCUUGAGAAGCUGCAUUUCUCAUCAGGUCCCAAGUGACGCCCAUGUUACUGGUCCCCACACCACACUUUGAAUAGUAAAGUCCCAGACUUCAGAGCCCGGCACACUGGGAUUUGAAUCCCCACGCCACCAUGCUCUGUUUGUAGUGCCUUUGGGAAACACUGAAUAACCUUUACGGGAGUGUGUGAGAGCAGGGUUUCUAUUUGUAAUAGUAAUGUGAAAAGGGACAAAAUAUUUCAACUCUCUGAGCCUGGUCUCCUCUGUAAUCAGAAAACAACAACCCCCACCUCAGGGGGGUGGUGGAUAUUAAAAGCUCUGACCUGUACUUUCUCCUUCUGUUACAGUCCUGAAGGUGGCCCCUCCUAGUCCCUUCAGUGCACCAGACCUUGCCAUCAAUUUCCUCCUGACAUGUCUCUCACCCAGAAUGCUAGAUUCCAACAGGUGUUGCUGCCUUGCUCUCAUCUGGAUCCCUCAUGAACAUCAGAAACUAACUACCUCUUUGUGCCAAAAGGCUCUUUGGUUUGGGGAACAGCCCCCACCUCCACCUCCCGGUUUUUCUUCAGCUCCUCUGGUCAGCCCUCCUCCUUUGGAGAUUCUUCCUCUCCCUGUCCAAGCAUCUGAGGAGUCCUCAGACUCCUGAUUUUUGUCAGAUUCUUCUCCACACACUUCCUUGACCAUCUGGCACUGGGAUUCUCCAAAUGUUAGCAACCUAAAAAUGUUCCCAAAUCUAGAUCAACAGGAUGGAACACUCCUCAAAGCUCCAAACCCAGAGGGCCACCAGCUCUUUGUCCUCAAGACACCCCCAACUUCACACGACUGAACAUAAUUUGUCUCUUGUGUUCCCAUAUUCAGUCCCAGGACCUGCAAUCCACCCACCUUAGCUAUCUGAGGGGCUGUGUCAUUUACCCUACACUGGCCUGUAUCAUUACUUGUUGAAUUCACAUAUGGAUUUAUUAUCUCCCUAACAGUUAUGUAGUAAAACUCCCUAAUGCCUUCAGAACACUUAAACUAUACCCAUACUUCUAAUUUAAGUCACCAAUAAGUUAUUUCAGAAACCAGCGUGUGUGAAUUACACUUUGCUGCAAAUGCAGAGGAAACUGCAUCCACUAGUAGCUCUUGGCUUUUUUAAUGUUUCUACUUGGAAGAAAAGUACUAGGUUCCAUUAAGUUUGUAGGUCACAAAUAAAAUCUCAGAAAUAAAAAAGCGGGGGGUGAGGGAUCCUUGUUUUCCUAGGACUUGAAUAAACACUCGAGUUUUGGCUGUGGCAUUAUCACUAUAGUCCUGGAAUUAUCACAGAUGAGGGGUACACAGUGUAUUGCACAAUCACGUGUCUAUUUAUACACCUGGCUUCUUUCCCUGACUAUAUACUAGGUAGACGACAGGUUACAGUCCCAGAAGCCCAGAGCUGUGCUCAAUGUAUUAGAGUUGCCUGACUGAGUAGAUGGACAAGUAGACAAAAAACUUGUCUACUGAUGCUUAAGUAGGCCUUUGCACCUUAAGUCCUAAAAAUGGGCUGGAGAGAUUAGAACUGGCCUCACACUUCAAGAAGCUCUCAGAUGAGAUCAUCUAAUUCAAUGAAUGCCAGAACCCAAUGAUCCUCUUUGUGUCUGACCAUGAUCUCUCCUUACACAAAGCAAACACAGGCUCUGUCUUCUCCAUAAAUCCAGGGGAUAGAGAAUACAUAUAUCAUGGGGUACUUGUCUAGCUCCCUCAUUAACUUGCCCCUGAGUGCCAAUUCCAUACAGUACAGCAACAUCACUGCUAUUGUCCUAUCUCGAGUGUCCCAGUGAGUUAUUGGAUUGAACUUCAUCAAGAUGUUCACUCCAGCUCUGGUGGGAGUCAGCUGGCAGCCCCCAGGAGGCUCCCAGGCGGUACACUACAAAUGUACAGGUGGGCCGUUUAUCAAACCUGAGCUAACUCAGUCUGUUUUAUCAUUUCCAAACCUUCCACGUCACAGACUUUCUAAAGCUUUUCCUUUGAAAGCUAUUGUGUAUUAGAAGCCCCCACCUGGAUGAAGCCAGGGGCCGAGAAUGGGUCCUGGCUCCUCCAGUGGCGUUUCUGGUGAGAUAUGUUUCUAAGAUGGGUGUCUGAAGCCACUCCAGGCCACCUGAAAAGCCUGUCUCUCAAAUGCUCCCAUGGAGGCUCUUUCCAGCCUCCUGAAUGAUCACCCCCACUAGGAGCUGUCAGAUGCCUUCUUCUCUGACAAAGGCUUGGGCUAGGAGUCUCACCCCUCUGUAGUCAGGGUCUGUAGUGUAUGGCAGAACCUGGCCCCCACCCACCCCACGGGAAGCUAAGUUUCCAAGGCAAAAUGCCCCCCUCCAUCAACUGAAGGCAAAGCAGAUGCAAGGUGGUGGGGGCUGUAUAUGAUUUCCUUCCUCUCUGACCUUCAUUGCACCUGGAGCAUGCUCAGAGGGCAGUGCCACUGACCUGCAGCUAGGGUGGCAUAGAUCAUCAGGCCUCCAUCUGUCACUGACAAGCCUGAUGGCUUCAGGCAGAACAAGUACCCUGCAUCUCAUCUAUCAUGCAAGAUAACACCUUUCCUGCCUUUCAGAAUGUUGUAAGAAUCCAGUGAGAUUAGGAGUACGUUUGGGAAACACUUGCUUUCUUCCAGGUGUUUUUCUUAUUGCUAUGACCAAUAUGCCCCACUAGUGAGAAGCCACUCUCAGGGUUCUUCCUUAAAUUCAGUUACCAAAUGGUUUAGGCAAUAUUCUCCUGGCUCCCUAGCAAACUAAACAUUCCCUAUUUUUCUCUACUUUCUUUGUCAAUGUGCAUGCCUGUGACCGCUGAGCCACACUGCCUCCAGUCCCUGAAGCCAGAUACCAUUAGCAGUUCAGAUUCCCAAAGUCUCAGAAAAUGUACAGAGGCUCUGAGUGGUCAUCUAACCAAUCCAUCCUCUGCCUUUGGGUUGGGCUUACAAAGAAUACUCCUUAAAAUCAAUUUCUCAUCUGGCCUCCAGGAUUUAGCGGAAACGAAACCAUAUACAGACAGCCCAGGAGCAUGCAUGGCCUUCCCGGGACUAGAGUCACAGCUGCUUCCAGUCACACGUAGGAUUUGGUGACCCAUUGUCCCAAGGGACCACCGUGCUCUGCAUCCAUAAUGCACUUCUGAACCAGCAGCACACUCAUCACCUAGCCCUCUGCAGGCGUGAUCUACUCCUAGGGCCUGUUUCCUCAGUGAUUCAUUGGUUUUGUUUUUGUUUUUGUUUGUUUUGAGAAAUGUUGGGGAGGGUUGUGUAGCAGUAGGGCUGGGGAAGGUGCUUACAGCAAAAAAGACACAGGGUUCUUGUUUCUUUGUUUGUUUGUUUGUUAUUUAAAGAAUGCAUCACUUCCUAACGUCGAUUCAUAAGCCUUUUCCCUAGAUUCCAGUCAGAGGAAAUUUGUAAGGAAAAUCCCUUCAGGCUGACAGUGCUGAAGGUGCAUAUCUCUUUGGUAAAGGCAGAACACACAGGCCUUUGCUUAGGGUUGAGCAACAGUGCACUGCUGUGGGCCACCUACAGCAAUUGGUGCAGCUAAUGUGGAAAACAGUGAUCCACUCCAACCCCUUCCCCACUCCCAACUCUCCCCUACCCUUACACCCUUCCUCCCCCUCUGCCACUGCUCUACCCUCCUCUGAUAGGUGGGAAGGAAAAGAAGGAUGGAACUAGGAGUGUUCAGGGAGGGCCUGCUACAUGCAAGACCAUCCUAGGCUCUUCAACGUGCACCAUUUCACUUUGCACUGGUAGCCACCUGACUGAGAAGUGAAGGCGCCCAGAUACCAAGAAGCCAACAAAGUCCCUGAGCUCCUGAGUGGAAGAUUUAUGAUCUGAUCCACAGCCUUCCUCUGGGAGAGGCACUCCCAGUUUUCUUUCCACUGCACAGCUGGAACCCAGAUGCAGUGCUGGAGAAUGGGUACAUUAUGGUCUUCCUCCAGAUGGCAAAUCCUUUCAGGGCAGGAUUCCUGUUUGAGUACUCUCUAGAUUCCCCACCACCACCCCCUCUCAUUCCCCAGUUAUCCCACUUGGAACAGUGCAGGCAGUUGUAGGGACUCCAGAAGAACUGGGUCCCAGUAACAGUGGCCUUCAGAGCCCAAUUUAUGGUGAGGCUCUACUUGUGCUUGGUCACUUUUUUUUUCUUUUUUACACAGCAACUUAGCAGUACUUUCCUGGAAUCGUUAACUACAAAAGAAGCUUAGAAGGGAUUGUUCUCAGGUGUCUUGUUUUGCUGUAAGUACCCUGUGGGGUGAGUUUCAGGGCCCUGCUCACACAUUCCUGGGCACUCAGAUGGGGGCAAGUUUACCAGCAGGGGCUGCUCACAGAUAUGCAGCUCUGUCACUUCCACUUUGCACAUGCUCACAAGUGUGAUUCCAGCUCUAUUUGAGGGAGAAGGCAGUAGACUGUCUCUAUGGUAACUGGAAGCAGCAUUUGAAAUAGCCUAAACAAGGUUUGGGGAAAAUUCAGUUGUGGCUGGCCAUCUGUCCAUCCCACCUUGUCAAGGCCAGUGGCUUGAAAUGCCUGCCUGAAGGCAAAAGAAAGGUGUGGUGACCUGGAGGAACCAUUCCAGAAAGGAGUCCAACAUGCACCACACAAAUGACCCCCUGCCUGGCUUUUCUAAAUGCUUCCCUGAGGGAUGUCAACCUUGCCAGGAAAACCAGGCAAAGUGUGUGUGCACACAUGCAAAAUUGAGAGAAAGUGAGAGAACAACUAACUUACAACAUGUUUUCUAGCUUAUUUCUCUAUGGUUUGGUUUUCUCUGACUUUGUUCACUUUAUUCAAUUUUUCUAAAAACACUUUUUUAAACUUCAGAGCAUUGUCAACUACUCACUUAAGCAACAAUGAGACCACUGUCAUUUCAGGAAACUCUUAGCACCCAGCUGCAGGAAGGCCACACUAUGAGUGUCGUCUCUGGUAUGGCAUCACGAUGCCUGGGCUGGGGUGAAUUAUGACCCAGGGGAUCAGCAACUGGUUCAACUAAUUCCACUCCAUAUGAAUAUGCACCCACAUCCCAAUUCUGUCUCCCCCAGCUACCUGUGAUCCUGGCAAGCUCAUAAACCAAUCUGAGCCUCAGUUUCCUGAAGAUGAUAAUCUUUUAUCUCAUAGUGGCUUUUUGAGUAACAAAUAAGAUAAUGGCGGUGAAUGUGCUUUGUAAAAUAGACUAUAACCGACAAAUGGAAGAGUGUUAUUAUCGUAUUAUUAAUAAAUGCAGGAUUUAAUGCAAGAAGAUUGCAUUACUAAUGACGUUAUUUUAGUCACACAGCUUGCUAUUUUUCCUCCCUAACCUUCUUCAGAGUUCAAAGAGACAGUGAAAGACAGAAACCUGCAUGGCUGUCUGGCUGGCUGGCUUCAAGGUCAAAACUCAGUCAUGCAUUUUUUGUGGCACAAAGUGUGGCCAAUCGAUUGAACACAGAAAUCAGAGCGCUAAGUAGAAAGCUACCUGAACAGAUGACUGCAGGGCUCAGAGGAUGGAGCAGGAGGUACCAAUCUGUCAGCUGCACAGCCAGCCCACUCUCCUCUCUCUAGGGAUGCACCCGCCCGGGAUGACAACCCUUCCCUCUCGGAAAGAGCAGAGCAAUACGCUCUCAGAGAGGUCCUCCACUUUUUCCCAGUAGGACCUCACCAGCCUGAGUGAGUUGUUCUCAUCUGGCAGGUGUUGAGAAACCUGUAAGCCCAAGAAGGAAAAUAAAAGCCAUGCACAACAGAAAUAGAAGCAGUGCACACUGAUGGAAAAAGACAUCCGGCCCAUGCCCAUGCACUCUCUACAUCCUCACCAGUGGACCAGGUCCGUGCAUGGGCUAGACUGGGAGCUGGGGAGAAAUGCAGAAUCUGUGGCUGUACUUGGACCCACUGAGUCAGAACCUGCAUUGUAAUGUGAUACCCGUGCUCCCCUGGUACAAUUCAAGUCCAAGAAGCACUGCUCUUGUACCCAAGGGGUAGGAGAUGGGGUGAGCACUCCUUGGCUCGUGUUUGGUGAGCUUCUCCCACCUGCUUUGAUUCUGAUGAGUUCUGGCAGCCCCUGCCUCCUGAUCACUUGGUACAGAGCAGGACCACCACCCGGAGUGUGCCACUUUUUGGCAAGAAGCCCAUAGGCCAGAUCAGCUUUCUCCUCCUCUCCACCCGGGAAUAACAGGUGACCUCAGCCUCUUCAGUGAUGUGGGAAAUUCACCUUUCCGGUUCACUAAGCCUCUGCCCAAAGAACUUGAGAGGCUGGAGCGGUCACUUCCAAUCACACUUCCUUAGCAGUUGGGAGCAGGCUGCACGCUGGGCCUUUAAGCCUAGACUGUGGGGUUGGUCCCCUCUGCAGGCUGUGCAGUGCCCGGCCUGCAGUGCAGUCCCCUCCCCCAUCAGGGGCCUGGCUGCUUCCUGGGCACUCACUUCCUCCAGGUGAUUAGGACCGACUUUGUCAUCUGUUAGUUUGUAUUCAUCCCAUGCCCAGGGGUUGGGCCCCUACAGUGGAUGACCAGACUGGGAAACUGAGGGAAAGUGGAGAAACUCGGAUGCAAUUCCUUCCCCUCUGAAGGUGGUAUGGUCGACGGCUUGGCUCCGUGGUUUCCACCCUGCCCAUCCACUAACCAGCCAUAGACACUCUGGCAAGUUCCCCAAAGUCCCCUUGUGUUUUCCCCAUCUCUAAAAUGGGGCGAAAGUCCCUCCACACCUUAGAGGUUUGUAGAAGAUGAAACAGAAUUACAGGAAGUGAAAACUUGGAUGAACAGAUCAUUCUGGACAAGGUGUUUUAUUCAUUAAGAUAGGCUGAGGGCACAGCUCUCAGCACCUUAAGCAUGCUGAACCUGAGUUGGCACAACAGGGCCUGGUUUAGGAUGAGACCCGGAGACCCAGAGUCAAGGAGUUUGCCCAUGGUCACCCCUGUGGAAACUGGCAGAGGGGUGCUGUGAUUCCAGGUGGAGCUCCAGGUUGGUGUUCCACAGGGACUCAGGAGUCUUGCCUUGACAGUUGUCUAGACUGGCUCUCAGGCUGGGGGAAUACACAAGAUGCAUGACAAAAGUCAGCCACACCCUCUUCAUCCUCCUCCACCAGGAAGCCCUCAGAGAAAUGUGCUCCAUCCUUGGCUACCACCUGGUCAGGGACAAAUCCAGUCAAGUUUAGUGUUUUUUUUUUUUUUUCUAAAUGCACAGGAGAGUGACCCCCAGGAGCUCUUUAGAAAACACACAACAGCCUCAAAGAAGUUCUUGAUCUCUGAACCCAAAUACAAUCUGGAGCAUUCAAAUGUUUCCUCAGUAUCUAAUUGGUCUUGCCUCUGACUCCUGAAAGUUGCUCAACAGGGGGUUGAUUUAUUUCUCUCUUUGCCAACUGCCAAUCCACUUAAAACCCUGUUACUCCAAGUCUGAUGCUCUGUGAUAUGUAAGCCUUGACUUUCUUCUUUCUCAGGCUUUCUCCUCCAUUGCUGAUCCAGUCACUUCUAGGGUCCAUCAUUUAACAUUUGCUCUUGAGCAAUUUAACUUACCAGAUGCCCCCUGGACUCCUUUCAUCUGUCUCUUACCACAUACCUCCCCUGUCUUGUUCUGGGGCUGACCAAGGAGGCUUCCCCACAUGGUUCCUGUGGGGGGCCAUGAGAGAUUUCCCCCUAUGUGCCCCCUACAACUCACCAGGGUCCCCCCACCAGGUUCUCUGGAUCUGGACUGACCAGCAGAAUCCAGUGUAGCCUGCAUGGAGGACAAUAGGCAGACACAUUGCAAAACCCUGUUCCAGCCAAUGGUGGGACAGUCUCCAACAGGAGUUUCAGUCAGUGCUGGCCUGGGGCCCCUCCACCAGGCUUGCAUGCUCAGCCAGGUGUCUUGGAAGCUGCUGGAAUACUGACACCCAGGGGCAGAGACAGCAACACAUCAUGAUGUUUGCUCCUGCUGCCCCUUAAUCAAGGGACAUGGGGAGGAGCACACCACCCUGUCAAGGCAGAGACAGCCGCCUCCCCCCUACUUCCCAGCGGUAAGAUCGAGGGGUGACCCAGAGAUAAACACCAUCCAGGCCUGUGUUCAGAACCAAGUGAAAGACAAUCAGGGAAAACACGCACCCUGCACCCUCCUUCCCACCUGGGUUAAACCAAGGCGUGCAUAGCCCCACAGGUAGAAAGGGCUCACCUUAGUUUAAUUGUGGGAGUUUGGGCUUUCUUUUAGUAAACACACAAUUUUAAAUCUUCAGAGUCUCUCAGAGCAAUUUGGCAGCUUGUGAGCUAUAGGGGUUUAAUUAGCUUAAUUACCUUCAACUUCUUGCCUCCAGAAACCUGUUCUGUAAACGUUAGCAGUGACCUGGCCCUGCGGUCUCGGCCCAGACAGAGCUGCCUGUAACCUGUGAGCUGGGCUAGACUCUCAGACUCAGCAUCGUCAUGCCUAGCAGUGGCCCCGGUGGGCAGGAGAUGCCCAAUAGUCCAGGGCACAAGGCUGUUCAAGUGUCCAUGGCACAGCUAAUUAGGAGAAUCCAUAUGAGAUUCCCACGUACUACCGAAAGCAUGUCACUCUCCAGACCUAGGGACAUGCAGGUGGGAGGAUGAGGAAGGCCGGAGUGCUCCACUGAAGGCAGCCCUCCUCCAGACUCCCCUCAGCCCAUGCACACUCGCACACAGACACACACAUGCACACACAUCAUGCUAUGCACAAACUGCCCUCCUCCCACUGAGACUCUUGGAAUAAUGGCUUUAAAGGAAAUGGCUUUCCAGUGUAGAUGCCAUGUCUCACCCAGCUUGGGAUCCUGAGAACAGAACUGGGGAAGCAGUUCAGGGAAAGACAUGUGCUUCUGGACUGCAAAGGGAAAGAGCCAGUGCCCGUGAGCCCUUCAAUACACAUCCUGCUUUCACAUCACAGUUGAGGGGCUUUGCCCCCAGCCUCCAACCUCCUGUCAGGCUCCUGUUUACCCCAGUACCUGCAGAAGCUUCAGCUGGGGCCCAAGCCAACACCUCUGUCUUUUAGGAAGAGCCCACAGGGCCAUGAUACAGGGCCCAGUGGAAACCCUGCUCUGGCAGGCUUUCAGGAAAGCACAAAGGGCUCCGAUGUGCGGAAGCUGUGUUUUGCUAGACUUCGGGAUAUAUUUAGCUGACUAUAAAGUCAUGGUCUACUAUGGCCCAUCAACAACCAAUUUGGCCCCAGUAAAAUGGAUUCCAAUUCCCUUAGUACUAGUCUCCUAGCAGUCAGCUCAUCAAUAUACAUCAUGUUUAGAAACAGGGAUGCUAAUUGUGGAAUUUAAUGGACUCAUUAUUUAGGAUUCAGCUUGACCUCUGGAAUAAACUUUUUUGGAGCUCCCCUCUCUUUCCACUACCAAAUUCCAAAACGGGUGGUGGUGUGGGGCAGCAGGGAUUUUGAACAACAAGCAAAGAAUUUCCUGGGGCUUGACCAUAAGUCAAGAAUUCUCAUAAUCCAGGGUUUUCCCCUGAGCCCACAUGAAGUAGCCUAUACCACUGCUUGGCUCCAGAUUCACUGAAUUAACAAGAAGCUGCCAUUGCCAUAGGAUACAGCAAGCACCAGUGGUGUGAUUAACAUGGGCGGCACCAGUGUGUCACAAUGUCUGCAGAGGUGACUUGGAGUCCAUACCAGUGCCUGUUCAAUGGUCAACAGAAGCUGCAUGCCCCGACCCUCAUAUAUGGCCCCCAAAGCCUAGUUUCCCAGUGUUCCCUGACUCCUCACUCAGGGCCACUAACACCCAUUCACUGCACAGGAGCUACCCCCAUCCUCCUAAGUCCCUGCUGUCAGGAGCAUGUCCCACACACAGCUGGGGAAAGGUGGGCUCCUGGAGCAGAGAGGAAGUGGGGGGGGGUAAGUCAUCAGGAAGAGGAGGAUAGCUGUGGUGGGCAGUCCAGCUACCCAGCAGGUCAUGGGGAGACCUUUCCCACAAAGAAUGUGGUUUGAUUCUUUCUCCUCCUGAUGAUAUCCCUGAGCAGAGACCGCUGAUAAGGCCUGACCUUUUAGUAACAACCAUCCCAUCACUAAACAUGGAACAGAGAUACUUCACUUUUCAGCAGGGAAAGAGACACCAGAGUCUGUAUAUCCCAACCAAGGAUAGCCCUCCCUGGCCAACCUCCAUUUACAGUUCUUUUGGUUUCAAGACUUUUAGGUUCAGACACAACUGGCUUCUUCCUUCAAAACUAUUGGCUUUUUUCAUUUUCAGAUCUGUGCUUUGGGGAGUAAACUUUUGAUUGUGACAUUUGUUUGCAAAAUUGUGUGAACCAACUAAAGGCUAUGACCUCUCACAUACAAACUCUCCCAUGCCCUCAAGAAUGGGGGUGAGCGCAGGGAGGGGGCUUGAAUGUAGUCACACAUCUCCUUGGAGGGAGGGCCUAGGCUCUCAGGAACAUGGCAUGCAUCCACUUUACCUUGCCUUUACACUGUUAGUCACUUUCUGGUCCUAGAGUGGCUAGGCUCCCCGAGCAUCUCGGACAAGAGUGUAAGAUUUAGAAAAUAAAAAUACCAGAUGCCUUGUGAACUUUCAAUUUCAGGUAACAAUGAAUAAUUUUUGUGUGCAAUUAUAUCCCAUGCAGUAUUGGGGACACAGUUAUACUGAAAAGUUAUGCAGAGUUGAUCUGAAAUUCAAAUGUAGCUGGCAUCCUGUAUUUUAUCUGGCAAGUCCUCUGUGCCAGCAAACCUCCAAGGCUCUGUCUCUAUAGUGAGGCUAUGCUGUGGAUACAAAAUUAUUCCCCAUAUUUUAAGAGAAGCAAGGGCAUAACAGUAACAGAAACAAUAUUUUGUAAAGCCUAUGUUAUGUGUGUAAUCAUAUCCUGGGGAAUAACUUCUGAACAAAGACGGUAUUUAAAUCCAAGCUCCAUCCUUGAAGGGCCACUUAUUUGCUGGUUUAUUUAAAUGAAGUCCCUCUAAAAUCCUUCCAAUGAAUCCACUUGGGCAUUCAGACCACUGAAAACAUGACUUUAUUGCUAGUGACUUGCACUGAAAAAAACACAUGGAAGUAAAAUCAUUUAGGUUAGCAUUUCCCCAACUCAAUUACAUUCUUUGCAACCCUAUUCCUGCAGGAACCUCCUGGAGAAAAUACAUGGUUUGUGGUCAAAUAAACAGGAAACUGCAUGUUAUGUAUGCCCAUCUGGGAAAGUCACUGUGAAUGUCAUCAUACAAAAGGCCUGAGGAGUAUUGCAGCAAGGAAAAUCUCAUUUGCUUAUUCUAGCACUAUCCAAACUUAUUUGACCACAGAGCCCACUGGCCUCCAAUUCCCCCUUUAAUACUUAUGAGCCCUACAGAUAACACUUUGGAUAUUAGAAACAGAUGAAUGCUUGUGUUAACUAACAACUAACCCUUGAGUUAGUAUUUCUAUUCCUUACUUGGAUCCGGGGUUCUUCUGGCUUCUUCCAAAGUCUUUUCCUAGCCUCGCUUACAGACCUGUUCAGUUAUGGCCCUCCGUCAAGGCCUUCUCCAAGCUCUACAUGCUCUGAGAAGGUCCCUGACCUCAUACCUCUCCAGCCCAAAGUGACCAUUCCUUGCUUAUCUGAUCUUUCAAUCAGCACCUAUUGUCGACACAUAUAGCUUGCCUUGAAGGAUCCACAUAUCCUGCUUUGCCUUGAUAUGAUAGCUUGCCUUGAUAUGAUCCACAUAUCCUGAUUUUUUUAGCUAGUAUUUCCUGAUUCUUUCAUUUCUAUAUAUUUUGGCUCUCCAACCAGACUUGAAGCUACUUGGGGGCAAGACUCGUCCUGCUUAACUACAGCCACUUAGUGCAAAAUGGAUUGGGCAUCCAAUGGGCGUUGGUAAAUGUUUGUUGACAGAAUUAUGUCUAUUCAUGUGCCCAUAUUCUAAUUGUUGCAAAUUUCGGGGGGGGGGCGGGGGAUGGACGGUUUCCCUAGAAGAGCCAUGAGCUGGCUUCUCUCCUGCACCAUGAACGAUCAAAGAUCAAUAACAGAUUUGUCUCCUGAGCCAUGCACAGUGUACCCCUCACAUCAGUCACUACUCCCCUGGCAGAAGCUCCAACUCUGACCCAAAUCCCCGGGGAUGAGAAAGACUUUAUUUUCAUCAGCUUUCCCACGACUUUCCACUUAGUUUAUAUGUCAAAAUUGCCAACAAUUAUGGGACCCACAGCCCAAUGUUUGGUCCAAUGCUGUGUCUCCAGUGCCUAGGUCUGGGCCUAGCAGCAUCAAUUUGUAAACCACUUGCAUUAGAAAACGUUUAACUUUAUUGUGACAAUAUAUAUAUUACAGAGCAUGUAUUAAUUUAAUCAUUUUAAGUAUACAGUUCAGAAACAUUAAGGACGUUCACCUUAUUGUGCAUCACCACUGUCUAUCUCCAGAACCUUCUCAUCUUCCCAGAGUGAAUCUGUACCCAUUAAACACUGAUUCUCCAUCCCUCCCCCCACCCCCCACCAGUAACCACCAUUCUACUUUAUGUCUCUAUGAAUGUGACCACUCUAGGUACCUCAUAUUAGUGGAAAGAUGCAAGAUCUGUCCCUUUGUGUCUGGCUUGUUUCACUUUGCAUUAUGUCCUUAAGCCUCAUCCCCACUGUAGCCUGUGCCAGAAUUUCCUUCCUUUAGAGGCUGAAGAGAAUCCCAUUACAGACAUAUACCACACCCUGUCAAGUCAUUCAUUUAUCAAUGGACAUUUGAAUUGUUUUCACCUUUUGGCUGUUGUGAAUAAUGCUGCUAUCAACAGUAGUGUGCAGGUAUCUGCUCAAUCCCCUGCUUUCAAUUUCCUGGGGUGUCCAUUAGGCGGCAGAACUGCUGAAUCUUACAGUCGGUUCUAGGUUUAACUUUCUGAGGAAACGUCAUUCUGUUUUCCACCUGCUUCUAAUUUCUCAUCAUCAAAACUUGUUGUUUUCCAUUGUUUUGUUUGUUUGUUUUGGUUUUUCAUAUUUUGGAUUGUGAAUUGCAUUUUACUUGCACCAAUUGUUCCUCCUUAUGUCUGUUGUAGAUUAAUGGCUCUAAUGAGAACAACCUUUGCACGUUAUUUGGCGUACCACCUAGUGCAUAGUCAGCAGUCCCAAGCCACUAAACAAAAAUAAUUUAACUUCCACAGUUCAGCCUGAGCCAAUUAGCACUGGAUUACUUCUGAAUAUGUAGCCUCACCUUACACUAUACCUGCCAGCAAGUGAAAGUAAAGAGAACCACUUGCUGGAUAGCUUUCUCCUCAUACUAGUGUCAAACAGCCCCAGCAAACAGCAAGAGGGACCUUAGGCAGUAGCUGCUCUGUGCCGCAUUAACUUCAGGCCUGUCACUUGUGGACGAGCAUGAAAAGGCCUCUGGAAAUGGUGUGGUAUGGGUCAUUAAGACUUGGAAGAAAAAAGGAGUGAAAUUAUGGCCAUCUGAAUGCAACUGCCUGGCUUUAUCUUUGCCCGACACUAUGAGAGCCUAUAAACAACAGCAGAGGGAAAAAGCUGUACUUUCUAAAGACAUAAAAUUUUUAGGGCUAUGUGAACUCUGAGAGUAUAUGGCCAUCUGAGAAAACUAUUUCCUGCAACUCAAACCUAGGAUUCAGGGGUGAGGCCACCCGCCAAGACUCAGUCUUCUACUCGAAAUGACUGCAUAUCAGUCUUUCCUGCCUACCUAAACAUGUUGCCACAUCCCUUAGUAGAGGGCCUGAUACCCAGCUGGGAAUAAAUACAUAUUUCCUGAAGCAGUAAAUGUAUGGAUAACAAGUCUAAGAAAACUGGGGUCUUUCUGGUUCCAAAGGUGAGAGAAUGUUGCCUUCUUGGUACUUUCUACCCCAACUGUUGCCUUUCUCAAAGACUAAGCCUCAGUGUUCCGUAAAGACCAAGACAGCAGUCCUUCACAGAAAUCCCUAUAACUGUCACAGUCUCACAUGAGUUUAUGGUCAAGACAGGCCUUCUCCAUUCCUGCCUUGGAGCAAGCCCUAGGGAAUACUAAUCUGGUUAGAGUAGUUUUCAAUCCCCAGUCCAUUUUUAUGCCCCACUCCUUCAUCUCACAGAAGUACCUCCUUCCAACAACAACAAUGGUCAUGGCGAUCAUGAUAGCAACAACCAGCUUCCUUUAUUGCUUUAUGGUUUACACAGGGCCUUCAAGUGCAUUAGUUUAUUUGAUCCACGGCAUAACCUGACAGGAAAGCCAAAGAGAAACUGGAUUUACCAAUGGUAAGUGAGGAAUAUAUGGUAGAACCAAGUUUCUAGAUUCCAAACACUCACUCCUCUUUCUUGUUAGUGGCUUCCUAUUCCUGAAAUACUACCCAAGCUCAUACUAAUCUCAAGACCAAAACUCUCAUUCUGUAGGAAUGUCUUCAAUUACCCUCUGAGAGGAAAGAUGGCUCCCAGUGAAGAGAUCCUAACCAUACUAACUAAUGACUGCGAAUGAUCUCACAUGUUCAUGGUUGUUUUAAAAAUCUGUCCACAAAUUCAUACCCCUCUCUUCCAAAGGGGGAGUUUACUACCCUACCUUUCAGUGUGGGAUGGAUGGACUCAGUGACUUGCCUCUAAUGAAUAAAUAAAUUGAAAUGAUGUGUGAUUUCAGAGACUAAGUCAUAAAAGCCCCUGUGGCUUCCUCCUUGCUCUCUCUCAGCUCACUCUCGGUGGGGGAAGCCAACAGCCGUAUUGUGACAACAUUCAAACAGCUCUAUGGACAUGGUCACAUGGCAAAACCUGAGAUCUCCUCCCAACAUCCAUGAAAGAGUGUUUGCGAAGUGGAUCCAACAGCUCCACUCAAGCCUUCAGAUGACUGCAGUCCCAGCCAGAAGACUGAGUACUUCAUGAGAGUCCCUGAGUGAGAACCAGCAAAACUAAGCUUCUCCUGAAUUCCUGACCCACAGAAAUUAUGGGCAGGCGGACCAAAAGGAGGAGCUUUGAUUCCUCAGACCCAUGGACAUGGAGCCUUGAACAGUAUUUACCAGGCAGUGUUCUGUGGAAAAUCCUACAAGUGGUCUAAAGGUAGGGGAUAAGAAUCUGGGGGAUGCUCACAUUACAUGGAUGGAUGGAUGGAUGGAUGGAUAGAUGAAACCAAUAGAAAUGCCUAUAUUAGUUAUGGAACUAAAGAACUUGCUAAAUUAUUUAAGUGUAUGUUUAAUAUAAUUUUAGCUAUUUCAAAGGAUAUAAUAUUACAUGUAAUGAUACUACCAAUCCAGUUGAUGGUCAUUAUUUUUCUCUCGUAUACCCCUGCAGCACAUGAAGCUAUGGGCCACAGUGGGUCACUGCUGGUCACCUACAAACACAUAUAUAUUUAUCUCAGGAUUAUUUACCAAGUGUGUAUAUUUUCUCCAUAAUCCAUUCAAAUAAAAAUGUGUGUGUAUUUUA